UACAUACUCCCUCCGUCCGGAAAUACUUGUCAUUAAAAUGGACAAAAAGGGAUGUAUCUAAAACUAAAAUACAUCUAGAUACAUCCCCUUUUAUUCAUUUUGAUGACAAGUAUUUCCGGACGGAGGGAGUACACA
rnacentral:pre_miRNA from 1 species